GCCAAGCAGGAAGCCCAAUGCAAAGCUCAAUCCUAGGACCCUGGAGUCAUGACCUGAGCCAAAGACAGUGUCCAUAGGCACUCUGCAUGGAAUACAAGGUUCUUCAUGAUUUAGCUCCACCUUUCUGCCAUCCAGUUAUUUAGACAGACACCCCAUCAACAUCCUGAAUCCUCAAGCCAUUCAGACUGCCAGGGUUCCCUAGAAGACCUUGCAGCCUAGAGUGCCCCUGUCUACCUAUUCUGCAAGUUAAGCUCAGAUAAAUAGAGGCAUUUCCAAUCUAGGAGCAUCUUAAUGUGAGUUCAAAGUUUGAAGUUUGUUGGACCAUCCAGAUGAUGAAAAACCAGGUUAUGCAUCUAUGCAAGGGUCGUGUUACUGACAGUGCCAUUCCAAUAAAGGUACAACUUCUUGGUGUCUCAGUUUAAGAAGAGGAAGAGAAAGUACAUUCACUAAGGAAAGGUCACCUGAGCUCAGGAGUUCACGUGAGCCCACAGUAGAAGCCCUCUGGAGGCCAAGAAGACAGCCCUUAAGACACUGACUAUGCUUUAAACUUGGUUUUCCAGUUUCAAGAGAGUG